rnacentral:rRNA from 1 species
CCUACGGGAUGCAGCAGUGAGGAAUAUUGGUCAAUGGGCGUAAGCCUGAACCAGCCAAGUCGCGUGAGGGAUGAAGGUUCUAUGGAUCGUAAACCUCUUUUAUAAGGGAAUAAAGUGUGGGACGUGUCCUGUUUUGUAUGUACCUUAUGAAUAAGGAUCGGCUAACUCCGUGCCAGCAGCCGCGGUAAUACGGAGGAUCCGAGCGUUAUCCGGAUUUAUUGGGUUUAAAGGGUGCGUAGGCGGCCUUUUAAGUCAGCGGUGAAAGUCUGUGGCUCAACCAUAGAAUUGCCGUUGAAACUGGGAGGCUUGAGUAUGUUUGAGGCAGGCGGAAUGCGUGGUGUAGCGGUGAAAUGCUUAGAUAUCACGCAGAACCCCGAUUGCGAAGGCAGCCUGCCAGGCCAUUACUGACGCUGAUGCACGAAAGCGUGGGGAUCAAACAGGAUUAGAUACCCGGGUAGUC